rnacentral:lncRNA from 1 species
UAGAACACGUGUUAAUAUGACUUCCCUACUGCAUUGUAAUAUCCUAUGAGACUGCCUUAAAUGCAGAGAAUGAUAUCUUAUAUGUAGUGGUUGCUUAUGAAGACUUGUGUUUUUGUUGAUUAACAUAUGAUGGAAUUGAUGAGCAGCCAAGGAAAGAAAAUUUCUAUAUCUAAAAACAUUUUUUAAAAAUGUCUUAGUUUAGAGGGGACUCAAGAUGGCGCUGUGAGAACAACCCAGGAUUGGAGCCCGCGUUGAAUGCGAACAAAAGGUGGAUUUUCCAGGCACUAUGUAGGAUCUCACUGGCAGCCAAACCAGUAGAC